AACUUUUAACAAUGGAUCACUUGGCUCUCGCAUCGAUGAAGAACGCAGCGAAAUGCGAUAAGUAAUGUGAAUUGCAGAUUUUCAGUGAAUCAUCGAGUCUUUGAACGCACCUUGCGCUCCUUGGUAUUCCGAGGAGCAUGCCUGUUUGAGUGUCAUUAAAUUCUCAACCCCACCGAUUUGCUUCGGGGGGAUUGGACUUGGAGCGUGCUGGCGAAGGUCGGCUCCUCUUUAAAUGCAUCAGUGGAGAGAAACUCGCCCCAGUGUGAUAAUCCUGUUGCGCUGUGGUGGGCGAAAGUCUGCUUCCAACCGUCCCUCCGGGGGACAUACGUCAUCUCAUUUUGACCUCAAAUCAGGUAGGACUACCUGCUGAACUUAAGCAUAUCAAUAAGCGGAGGCU
rnacentral:misc_RNA from 1 species